GAUGAACGCUGGCGGCGUGCCUAAUACAUGCAAGUCGAGCGAACAGACGAGGAGCUUGCUCCUCUGACGUUAGCGGCGGACGGGUGAGUAACACGUGGAUAACCUACCUAUAAGACUGGGAUAACUUCGGGAAACCGGAGCUAAUACCGGAUAAUAUAUUGAACCGCAUGGUUCAAUAGUGAAAGACGGUUUUGCUGUCACUUAUAGAUGGAUCCGCGCCGCAUUAGCUAGUUGGUAAGGUAACGGCUUACCAAGGCAACGAUGCGUAGCCGACCUGAGAGGGGGAUCGGCCACACUGGAACUGAGACACGGUCCAGACUCCUACGGGAGGCAGCAGUAGGGAAUCUUCCGCAAUGGGCGAAAGCCUGACGGAGCAACGCCGCGGGAGUGAUGAAGGUCUUCGGAUCGUAAAACUCUGUUAUUAGGGAAGAACAAAUGUGUAAGUAACAAUGCACGUCUGGACGGUACCUAAUCAGAAAGCCACGGCUAACUACGU
rnacentral:rRNA from 1 species